rnacentral:misc_RNA from 1 species
CCCUAGCCGCGAUUGGAGCAAUUGUUUGAGCUCAUUUUUUUGAUUUCUGGCGGCGCGGCAAAGCCGCGCCGCCAGAAAUCAAAAAAAUAGCGAGUGCGGAAAGCGCGAAAUAGC